rnacentral:rRNA from 1 species
UACAGAGGGUGCAAGCGUUGUUCGGAAUUACUGGGCGUAAAGCGCGUGUAGGCGGGAUGGCAAGUCGGUCGUGAAAUCCCUCGGCUCAACUGAGGAUCGUCGAUCGAUACUGCCGUUCUUGAGGAUUGCAGAGGAGACUGGAAUUCCCGGUGUAGCGGUGAAAUGUGUAGAGAUCGGGAGGAACACCGGUGGCGAAGGCGGCCAUCUGGACGGUAACUGACGCUGAGACGCGAAAGCGUGGGGAGCAAACAGG